UACGUAGGGUGCAAGCGUUGUCCGGAAUUAUUGGGCGUAAAGAGCUCGUAGGCGGUUCGUCGCGUCGGCUGUGAAAACCCGAGGCUCAACCUCGAGAUGUCGGCGGAAACCCUCUGGCUAGAGUCCGGAAGAGGAGAGUGGAAUUCCCGGUGUAGCGGUGAAAUGCGCAGAUAUCGGGAAGAACACCCGUGGCGAAGGCGGCUCUCUGGGACGGUACUGACGCUGAGACGCGAAAGCGUGGGGAGCGAACAGG
rnacentral:rRNA from 1 species